rnacentral:rRNA from 1 species
CUACGGGCUGCUGCAGUGGGGAAUAUUGCACAAUGGGCGCAAGCCUGAUGCAGCCAUGCCGCGUGUAUGAAGAAGGCCUUCGGGUUGUAAAGUACUUUCAGCGGGGAGGAAGGGAGUAAAGUUAAUACCUUUGCUCAUUGACGUUACCCGCAGAAGAAGCGCCGGCUAACUCCGUGCCAGCAGCCGCGGUAAUACGGAGGGUGCAAGCGUUAAUCGGAAUUACUGGGCGUAAAGCGCACGCAGGCGGUUUGUUAAGUCAGAUGUGAAAUCCCCGGGCUCAACCUGGGAACUGCAUCUGAUACUGGCAAGCUUGAGUCUCGUAGAGGGGGGUAGAAUUUCAGGUGUAGCGGUGAAAUGCGUAGAGAUCUGGAGGAAUACCGGUGGCGAAGGCGGCCCCCUGGACGAAGACUGACGCUCAGGUGCGAAAGCGUGGGGAGCAAACAGGAUUAGAUACCCCGGUAGUC